UCUGGUGGCAAUGACGUGAAGGUAACACUCCUUACCAUUUCGAACAGGCAGGUUAAGCUUCAUUGUGCCGAGAGUACUGCAGAGGUAGCUUUGUGGCAGGGUAGGUAGUUGCCAGGU
rfam:Clostridium tyrobutyricum DIVETGP, WGS project CBXI01000000 data, contig: NODE_35